rnacentral:rRNA from 1 species
CACUUUGCUUUAACUACAUAAAUUUGAUGUAGGUUUAGAUAAAACGCUAAAUAGAGACAUAACACAUGCAAGUUUAUAUAUAAUAUUAUUUAUAUUUAUAAUAUAAUAUAUAUAAAUUAAUAUAUAUUAUUAUUAAGUAGAUAAUAUAAUAAUAUUAUUCAUUUAUUAAUAUAAAAAUAUUAAAUUAUUAUAUAAAUAUAAUAUAUAAGCGUUUAGGUGAGUAUAAUAAGGUCAAAACCUUAAGAGAUGUAGGUAUUAGUAUGAAUAGACUAGCCAAAGACCUCUACUCCAUGGUGGAAGCCAUAAGGAGCACAUAGAUAUUAAAUCUACUACUAUUAGUAGCAGCAGUGGGGAAUUAUUGACAAUGAUCUAACGAUUGAUCAUGUUAUCUAUUAAAGAUUUUGAUAAUAUUAAAUAUAAUAUAUAAAUAUAUUAUAAAUAUUAUAUAUAUAAUAUAAUAAAUUAUAAUUAUAAUCUACUAUAAAUAUAUAAUUUAUAUAUAUAUAAAAUAUAUAAAAUAAAUAUAUAUUAAUAAAAAUCAAAUAUAUCUUAAUAUAUUAAUUAAUAAUGAUAAUUAAUAAUAUUUAGUCCUUACUAAGAUGUGUGCCAGCAGUAGCGGUCAUACACACAGGGCAAGCGUUUAUCAUCCUUGGUUUAAAGGAUCCGUAGGCUUAAUAACGAUUAUCAUUAUAAUCUUUUUAAUGAAUUAUAAUUAUUUAUUUCUAUUAUUAUUAAUAGAAAUAUAAUCUUAUUAUAUAAUUAUUUAUUAUAAAUAAUUUUAUAUUAAUAAAUAUUAAUAUAAGUAUUAAUUAUAUAUUAAUAUAAUUAAUAAAUAUAAUAAGAAUAAUCAUAGAAUCUUAUAAAUUUAAUAUGUAAAUUAUAUAAAGAGUUAAUAUGCUAUGACAUAUAAUAGACAGCAAAGAAGUUAAAUAAUAAGAUUGACGCUGAGGGAUGAAAGCUGUAAGAGUGACAUGGAUUCGGUACCCAUUUAACUGCAGCCGUAAACUAUGUAUAUCACGUAAAUCAUUUUCUCUUUCAUUACUACCCCUAAUACCAGUAUAUAUAUAUUAUAGAUAAUCUUAUUUAUUAUAACAUUAAUUAUAUUUAUUUAUAUUUAACAUAUAUUAUUAUAAUAAUUUUAUUAUAAUUUUAAUAUAGAUAAAUAUAUAUAAUAAAUAUAGAUUAAUAUAUGAAAAUAUUAGGCUAUUAUAUAAUAUAAUACUAGUUUAUUAAUAUUAAAAUAUAUCAAUAUAUAGAUUAUAAAUUAGAUUAUAUUUAUAUAUAAAUUUAUAUAUAAAUAUAUAUAUGAUAUAUAUCGUAUUUUAAUGGAGAUAAAUAAUAUAUAAUAGAUAAAUAUAUUAGAAAAUAAUUUAAGAUAAUAUUAUCCAAUAUAAUAAUUAUAAUCUAAAUAAUAUAUGAAGAUAAUAGUAUAAUUUCAUACUAGUUAUAAAUUAGAUGAAUAAUUUAAUAUGUUAAAUUAAUAAUAUAUAAUAUGUAAAUAUAUAUCUUUAUAAUAUUUAAUUAUAAAAAAGAUAGAAAUUAGAUAGUAAUAUAAAUAGAAGAAAGAAUAUAGGUAAUCUGUAAGAGAGAUUUGAGCAAAUUAACAUUAAGAAUAUACCACCAGACUAGUACGUUCGCAAGAAUGAAAUGUAAUACAUUAGACGGUUAUAUACCGAUACAGUGGAUCAUGCUGUUUAAUUGGACGAUACCCCAUAAAUCUUACCAUUUCUUGAAUAUAAUAUAUUUAUAUAUUAUACAGGCGUUACAUUGUUGUCGUCAGUUCAUGCCAUCAUGGUUUAUUAUUAAGUUAUGUAAUGAACGAAAUCCUUGUUUAGAAUUUUAAAUUAAAAUUUUAUAAAAUAGUAUAAUAGAGAUAUUAUAGUAAGUAAAGGUUGAAGACUAAUCCGCAUGACCCUUAUGAAAUGGGCUACAGGUGUGAUACGAAUUAACUAUUAAUUAUAUAUCUUAUAAAUAAAGAUUAAAAUAAAUUAGUUAAAUUAAGGAAUUAUAUCUUUAAAUGAAUUAAUACCUGAAACUCGGUAUUAUAAAAGAGGAACUGUCAGUAAUCAUAUUUUAGUAUAAUAUGGUGAAUUUGUCAUAUAUUUCGCACUAAUCACUCAUCAAUAGCACAGAUGGAUUUUAUAAAUAUUUUUAUCUUUAUAUCUUCUUUAUAUUUAGUAUAUAUUUUAAUAUUUAUUAUAUUAAUAUAAUUAUAAAUAUAUCUCUAUAUAUAUUUUAAUAUAUUUUAUAAAUAUAAACGUUAUAUUAUAAAUAAAUAUUAUUUAUUAUAUUUUAAUAAAUUUUAUAUUUAAGACAAUAUAGAUAUUAUAUAAAUGAAUUAUAGUAUUUAUAUAUAUAUAAAUAUAAUAUAUUAUAUAAUUAGAUAAUGAAGACACUUAUUAAUUAUAAUAAAUAAUUAUUUUAUAAUAAAAUAUUAAUUUAUAUAUUAUGAUUAUAAUAUGUUAAUAUAUAUUAUAAUAAGUUGAAUAUAAAUAUAUUAUAUAAAACGAAAAUAUAAAAGAUAGAAACUAAAGAUAGUAUAAAAAUAUUUAUUAGAAAUGAAAAAUAUGCUAUAAGUUGAAAUAUAGUUCGGGUAAGGGAACUUGCUCGGGGUUUAUAAUAAUAUUAACUAUUCA